AAUAAAAUAAUAUAAAACAGAAAUUCUUGUUCAUCUAUUAUCAUCUUACGAAACGAAAGAAACUUGUCGGAUAACCUAAUACAUAAAUAGGUAGACAAUAUUUGAAUGUUUGAAUUGAAAUCGAAGUAUCUGUACUUUUCAAUUACUUCAAUCUCUCCAUUUAAAUGAGAAAUGAUUUAAACGAUUGAAAUAUUUCAGCACGAACCUGAAUUUUCUGCAUCGGUAAACGCUUGGAUAUAACGUUGGCUUGUGAAUAUUUCGAUAUAAAUCCGAGCACGUAACGCGAUUUCGCAUAGUCGAAGAUAAAUGUCGAUUCGAAUUUGAAGAUUCUUUAAAGGACAUUUUUAUCGAAGAAGUCACUUUUUACCAAGCAACGUACGAGUGGUAAAUAUUCAGUGGAAAUACCAGAUGUAAAGUUGGCAAAUAGAAAUGAUAUGUUUUCAGUUCUUAGAAGAUGUUCAUAUUUCGUAAAAAUUAUUGAAGAGCAUUUGAAACGCAGGUGAUCGAUUCUUCAAGUUCAAGAUUAUCUAUUUGAUGGCGCCAGAUACCUAUUCGACCGACACCUCGCAUCCAGCCGAUCAACGUUGAAAAAUCAAGUCCACGUUGAAAGAUUAACUUCAAAUUGAUCGAUAACAGAUUAUACGUUUAAUCGAUAAGCCAACAAAAAUUUCGCCACCGCUAAGCAUCGAAGACUGAAAGAAGCGCAAAAAUUGGCAAUUUCAGACGCCAAAUACUCGCAAAAUGGUAAAAGACGAUCGGAAACUGCAGGAAAUGGUAAAAAGCGAAAAAAGUGCGACGAGGAGUCACGUGAAACGAGAGAAGACAACGCGAACGAUCAGGUGGCCGCUAACUCUGUUUAGGAAUUCGAGUGAAAAAUUUCACGUAGUUGCAACUGUCCGAUAUUGAAAAUUGGAAGAGAUUAGAAAAUAAUAUAAAUCAGUUGACUGUCCGCUAUAAAUAUCGGUGGCGUAUGAAAUCGAGGAGAGACACGGAGCAGGCGAGUCUGGUGAAAUUCGGAACAGAUCCGUCCGUCCUGACAAGUGGAAAUCCAGCUGCUUUCCAUUUCUAACGAUCGCCGAUCGGAGACCAAUGGUUACGAGGCUCUGUCAACCACGAAAACCGAUUUCUAUUUUCUUCCCCGGCCACUUCCACCUGUCGAUCGAAACUUACGACACUUUCGACCAUCGACGAUUUCUAACAGCAAAGAU